UUGAAUAAUACAGUAGAGUCUCACUUAUCCAACAUAAACGGGCCGGCAGAACGUUGGAUAAGCGAAUAUGUUGGAUAAUAAGGAGGGUUUAAGGAAAAGCCUAUUGAAUGUCAAAUUACAUUAUGGUUUUACAAAUUAAGCACCAAAACAUCCUGUUUGAAAUACAAAACCCCUGGAAGCUGGGAACACACUAAUAUACUGUAGAUUAAUCAUCUCUAGAAUCCCAUAUUGAGCAGAGCAAUGGCAACACUGGGAAACAAAAAUUUGCUAAAUAUUUGAUAUUGGUCAACUGUCUCCAGAAUCUCACCUGGAGCUGGGUGGCUCUGUGUUGGGAGGAGGGCUUGGCUUGUGCCUUCCAGCCUGGCAGAACGGGGCUGGGCUGGAGAGCCUCUGAAGGGAGGAGGGGGUCUCUUGUGUUUCUAGGGUGCUAUGCCUCUAAUGAUUCUUGCUUGGGUUAAAAGAGGAGGAGGAGGAGGAAGACAGAAGUGCAAGUUGCUGCAAGGCUGACAGGGGUAAAAGAGGGAGAAGAGGGAGGAGGAGGAGGAGGAGGAAGAAGAGUGCGUGGGGGAGAAAAAGGAAGGAGAGAGAGAGGGGGGAUCUGGAGCAAAAUGUGUGUGUGUGUGCAGGAGGAAAGGGGGGUCCUCCGCCCACCCACCCAGGUGGUUAUAGCCAUGCCGGCCAAGAAGGGGACUAUUCAUCGGAGGAGCACCAGGCUGCAAGCCCAGAGACAGGACCAAGUGAACCCCAAAAAGCCACACGGAAAAAGCCGCACAGCACCUGGAGGCAAAAAACAACCCACCGAAGUGAACCGAGUGACAAAAUUAUCGCAUGCCCCGGGGAAGGAUAGAAGGUUGGUCCUGGCAAAAGGAAGAGGCAGCCUUAAGAGGCAUCUGCCGGGGGUGAGAAACAGCGAAGGCCAGGAGGAAAAAAGAAGGAAGAGCAUUGAAUAUGGAGAAAUGAGCCAGGAGGAGGACAGCUCGAAAAUCCUGGGAGAAAUCAUGUUGGGCUUUGGCUCCGACGGCAGACCAACGUUGAGAAGAAUUGUGCCAUCUUGGAUCAAAGAACUAGCAAGAGAGAUAUCGAAUUCAGUGGCACCAGAGACUAUGCGGGUAUACAAGGAGGCCGUGGCCAGGUUCUUUUCAUUUAAGGUGGCCGUGGGAUAUAGUCCGGGCUGGCCGGCUUUGGAGGAUGAAGUGCUUCAUUACUUGGUGCACCACAAGAGGAAGGGGUUAGACCCGGACACUUUGCGCAUUCACUCGGAUGGGAUAUCCUUUUUCAAGAAAGUCGUGGGCUUGGCAGACCCUGGUGCGUCCUUCCGGGUUAAAAUGGUAUUGAAAGGCAUGAAACGGAGUACGAUGGGGCACCAUACGGGGACAAACACUAAGAGGGCGAUCACGUAUAGUCAGCUCACGGCCUUGGUCCGGCAAUUGGAAAUGAUAUGCCAUUCCAAAGCGGAAGCGUGCCUCUUCCGGGCAGCCUUCACCUUGGCCUUCUUUGGGUCGUUGAAGACAAGCCAACUGGUGGCCGACUCCAAGACGGAUGUCUCCGGGAGAGCCCUUCGGCUCAAGGACAUCUCAUUUGGGGACAAGGCUGUAACCAUCAAAACCAGGGACUGGGGAGGAAGGAGGGUCGUGGUGGAGGUAAAGGGGUUAGCACAAGGGGAGCUCUGCCCAUACCGGGUGCUUAAAGAGUUCCUAAUGAUACGAGGGAUGGUCCCAGGGACACUGUUGGUACACCAAGACGGGACACCUCUCACCCGCUACCAGUUUUGGGCAGUUUUCAGGAUGACAUUGAAACGAUUAGGGCUUCCGGCAUCUGAGUUUGGCGAACACUCCUUUAGUAUGGGAGCAGCACAGGGAGAGUUGCCCACUGGCAUCGUUGGUAGGACACAGACCACAUCUAACCAAAUGCCAAGGCAUGGGCCAACAACAUCUGACCCAUUUUGGUGGUUAUUUGGAGGAAGUAGGGCAUUAGGCAGGUAAAGUGAAAGGAGAACGUUGUCAUGGUGGACAUGGGCAACUGUGAGUCCACGGAAGACGACAAGGACUUGGGUGAGUGCUUGGGUUCAGUAGCAUUGGGUGGACACCUUGGCCAUUGGGACCAACCAAGAAUUAUGGCCAUUUUUCCCCACAACCUGUAAUUCCCAAUUCUAUAAUUCUUCUGUUUCUGGUCAUAUGUUAUCUUCUGUUCCCCGUAGGGACUUGGGUGAGUGCUUGGCUUCAGUAGCUUUGGGUUGGCAGAAGGUGGACAUCUUGGCCGUCGGAACCAACCAAGCAUUGUGGUAAUUUUUUCCCACAACCUGUAAUUCCCAAUUCUAUAAUUCUUCUGUUUCUUGUCAUAUGUUAUCUUGUUACCAGAAGGAACUUGGGUCAGUGCUUGGCUUUCAGCAGCAUUGGGUUGGUGGAAGGUGGACAUCUUGGCCAUUGGAACCAACCAAGAAUUAUGGUAAUUUUUCCCCACAACCUGUAAUUCCCAAUUCUAUAAUUCUUCUGUUUCUUGUCAUAUGUUAUCUUCUGUUACCAGAAGGAACUUGGGGUCAGUGCUUGGCUUCAGCAGCAUUGGGUUGGCAGAAGGUGGACAUCUUGGCCGUUGGAACCAACCAAGAAUUAUGGCCAUUUUUUCUCACAACGUGCAAUUCCCAAUUCUAUCAUUCUUCUAUCUCUUGUCAUAUGUUAUCUUCUGUUACCAGUAGGGACUUGGGUCAGUGCUUAGCUUCAGCAGCAUUGGGUUGGCAGAAGGUGGACAUCUUGGCCAUUGGAACCAACCAAGAAUUAUGGCCAUUUUUCCCCACAACCUGUAAUUCCUAAUCCUAUAAUUCUUCUGUUUCUUGUCAUAUGUUAUCUUCUGUUACCAGUAAGGACUUGGGUGAGUGCUUGGGUUCAGUAGCAUUGGGUUGGCAGAAGGUGGACAUCUUGGCCAUUGAAAGCAACCAAGAAUUGUGAUUUUUUUCCCACAACGUGCAAUUCCCAAUUCUAUCAUUCUUCUGUUUCUUGUCAUAUGUUAUCUUCUGUUACCAUUAGGGACUUGGGUCAGUGUUUGGCUUCAGUAGCAUUGGGCUGGCGGAAGGUGGACAUCUUGGCUGUUGGGACCAACCAAGAAUUGUGAUUUCUUUCCCCACAAUGUGCAAUUCUCAAUUCUAUAAUUCUUGCGUUUUGUUAUCUUCUGUUACCAGUUUGAAGCAACUACAUGCCAAAAAUGUAUGUUCCAUGCCGUACAAGCGUUUGCUAUGUUUAAGUUUGUAUGUUCCAAAUAUAUAAGUUGCAACCUCUUUCUAUGUGUGGCUUGUGUU
rnacentral:lncRNA from 11 species